AUUGAACGCUGGCGGCAGGCCUAACACAUGCAAGUCGAGCGAGCGGCGGACGGGUGAGUAAUGUCUGGGAAACUGCCUUCGGUGGGGGGAUAACUCCUGUAAACAGUAGCUAAUACCGCAUACCCUCAGAUGUGCCCAGAUGGGAUUAGCUAGUAGGUGGGGUAACGGCUCACCUAGGCGACGAUCCCUCGCUGGUCUGAGAGGAGGACCAGCCCAACUGGAACUGAGACACGGUCCAGACUCCGACGGGAGGCAGCAGUGGGGAAUAUUGCACAAUGGGCGCAAGCCUGAUGCAGCCAUGCCGCGUGUGUGAAGAAGGCCUUCGGGUUGUAAAGCACUUUCAGCGGGGAGGCGUUACCCGCAGAAGAAGCACCGGCUAACUCCGUGCCAGCAGCCGCGGUAAUUC
rnacentral:rRNA from 1 species